UACGGAGGGUGCAAGCGUUAUCCGGAUUCACUGGGUUUAAAGGGUGCGUAGGCGGGCCGGUAAGUCCGUGGUGAAAUCUCCAAGCUUAACUUGGAAACUGCCGUGGAUACUAUUUGUCUUGAAUAUAGUGGAGGUGAGCGGAAUAUGUCAUGUAGCGGUGAAAUGCUUAGAUAUGACAUAGAACACCCAUUGCGAAGGCAGCUCGCUACACUAUUAUUGACGCUGAGGCACGAAAGCGUGGGGAUCAAACAGG
rnacentral:rRNA from 1 species